rnacentral:lncRNA from 1 species
GGCCAUUGCUCCAGUGGUCAGUUCCCUUCAGUCCCACAAGAAGCUUCCUAAUUAGCACCAAGGGAGAGGUUGUGACACAGGCAAGUGGACGAAGCUCCCUGAGAGUAAAGGACAUUGCUUUUCAUUACCUAUGAAAUGUAGAGCACACAGAAGCUCAGGGAUAUGAUAAAAUAUAAGCAGGAAACAAUUACGUCAGCAUUAACAACUAAAUGAAAUGUUAGCCUAGAUACAAUCUACAAGGAGACGAACACUCGAGCACAACAAGAAAAUACUGUGUGACAUUUGCUCAGUUUGGAUUCCAUCAAAAACAUACAUGUUCAGUCUAAUAAAAGUUCAUUAUAAAAUCUGAGAGCCAAAAAAAUAUAAAAUUCUAAAUUAAAUAACAACUGACUAAACAACGAAUGAAGGCAAAAAAUAAACUAGAUAUCAACUGAGUGAUGACUAUGCUUAUAGUUCAAGAAAAAAGUUACAGAAGCAAAAGCAGAAUUUAUGGGAAAAUAAAACUAAACCAAAGGUGUUACUUCAAAAAUGAGUAAUAAAAUGGAUCCUGAAAUUAUUUGAUGAAAAACUGCUGAGAAUUGAAUAGAUUUGAGACAAUCUGUUAUCUUGCAAACUCAAUCUUUACUCGGUUGCUACUAGUUCUAGGAUUUU